rfam:Chlorocebus sabaeus isolate 1994-021 chromosome 2, whole genome shotgun sequence.
GUCCUGGGCUUGUGCUCGAGGAGUGAAUGGUGGAUUCUGACCCCCAUGCACCCCUGCAGGCCCCUGGAAUCACUGGCCUCAUCCUUCACCCCUGCCAGCCACACUUGCCCUGUGCCU